rnacentral:rRNA from 1 species
AAGACCGAUGAGAAAUCGGUCCACCAAAAGUCUAAGGUUUCCUGAGUAAAGUUAAUCUGCUCAGGGUUAGUCGGUCCCUAAGAAGAGGCCGAAAGGCGUAUUUGAUGGGAAAGCAGUUAAAAUUCUGCUACCCGAUAUAGAUAGUGAUGGGAUGACGCAGUAAUGCGAGGAAGUCUGGUGUUGGAAAUCCAGAUUUAAGUCGGUAGGUAGGAUGAGCAGGAAAAUCCACUUAUCUAUUACCGAGAGGCUAAUACGAGUCACAUAAGUGACAGAAGUUCCUUUACAAAGCUGCCAAGAAAUAAUCUCUAAACGAUUAAUCUAUAUCGGUCCGUACCGCAAACCGACACAGGUAGACGAGGAGAGUAUCCUAAGGUGUUCGAGUUAACUCUGGUUAAGGAAUUAGGCAAAAUGACCCCGUAACUUCGGAAGAAGGGGUACCAUUAAAGGUGAAGAGUUUCGCACUCAGAGCUUUUGAUGGUCUCAGUAAAUAGGCCCAAGCGACUGUUUAUCAAAAACACAGGUCUAUGCAAAGUAGUAAUACAAUGUAUAUAGACUGACACCUGCCCGGUGCCGGAAGGUUAAAUGGAUGGCUUAGUAAGGAUAGCAAUAUCCUCGCAAAGGUCAGAAAUGAAGCCCCGGUAAACGGCGGCAAUAACUAUAAUUGUCCUAAGGUAGCGAAAUUCCUUGUCGGGUAAGAUAAUUGCCCCUUAAGAAAGUGAUUUCUUAAGCAAAUCCAGCUAAUAACGGUAGAACUCUAACAGAAAAUUGCAGGCAAUGCUGAGGGUAAUACCGUGGGAAGUCUCCCGAUUAUAAUCGGGAUGACCCCGUAACGACUGAGGUUUUAAACCGAGAUGAUAGUUUAUAUCUUGAUUAGUCAGGAUAAAUUUAUGGCUAUCAUAAUACGCUGGACUCUUAACUUUGAUUCUUAUAGAAAGGAUGAUAAAUGGAUAUUAUGUCUUAUUUAUCAGGUUAUGUAGAUGGAGAAGGAAGUUUUUGUGUCUCUUUUUCACCAAGCAAAAGGCAUUUGCUAGGCUGGGAAGUAAGACCAAGCUUCUCUGUUAGUCAAAAUUACAAUCGGGCUGAAGUCCUAAAUUUACUUAAAGAAUAUUUUGAUUAUGGAACAAUUAGACCUGACCGCUCUGAUAAUACAUUGAAGUAUGAAAUAAGGAGUAUAACAGUUCUAAUUGAAAAAGUUAUUCCUCACUUUGAAGAAUAUCCUUUAUUAUCAAAUAAGCAGAAAGAUUUUGAGAUUUUUGCGGAGAUUUGUAAAAAGAUCUACAGAAAAGAACAUUUAACAAGCAAGGGUUUUGCAGAGAUUGUUAAACUUGCUUUUUAUAUGAAUCCUUCUGGAAUUCGUAAAUAUUCUCAAGAUUUUAUUUUGAAAAGUAUCAAGUUAAGAUGAUGAUAUAGUCUAUACCUCUGGAAACAGGGGAGUAAUAUGAAGUUCCGACCUGCACGAAUGGUGUAACGACUUGGGCGCUGUCUCAACCAGGGACUCGGUGAAAUUGCAGUGGCGGUGAAGAUGCCGCCUACCCGCGAAAGGACGGAAAGACCCCGUGAACCUUUACUGCAUUUUGAUAUUGUAUUUUGGUACUAUAUGUGUAGGAUAGGUGGGAGGCUGUGAAGUUCCGACGCAAGUCGGAAUGGAGCCAUCCUUGAAAUACCACCCUUAUAAUAUUGAGAUACUAACUCCUGCCUUUAUGAGGUAUGAGUACAGUGUCAGGAGGGCAGUUUGACUGGGGCGGUCGCCUCCUAAAAAGUAACGGAGGCGCACAAAGGUUCCCUCAGCGUGAUUGGUAACCACGCGUAGAGUGUAAAGGCAUAAGGGAGCUUAACUGUGAGACCGACGGGUCGAACAGAUGGGAAACCAGGUCUUAGUGAUCCUAUCUCUCUGUAUGGAAGGGGGAUAGCUUAACGGAUAAAAGGUACUCCGGGGAUAACAGGCUUAUAGCUUCCGAGAGUUCAUAUCGACGAAGCUGUUUGGCACCACGAUGUCGGCUCAUCGCAUCCUGGGGCUGGAAAAGGUCCCAAGGGUAUGGCUGUUCGCCAUUUAAAGCGGUACGCGAGCUGGGUUCAGAACGUCGUGAGACAGUUCGGUCCCUAUCCUUCGUGGGCGGUAGAUGUUUGAAGAGAGCCUCAUUUAGUACGAGAGGACCGAUGAGGACAGACCUCUGGUGAACCGGUUGUGACGCCAGUUGCAUCGCCGGAUAGCUAAGUCUGGAAUGGAUAACUGCUGAAAGCAUAUAAGCGGGAAGCCAACUCUAAGAUUAGACAUCCUUAAGACCCCUUGGAGACUACAAGGUUGAUAGGUUACAGGUGUAAGUUCAGUAAUGAAUUUAGCCGAGUAAUACUAAUUGGUCAAAGCCUUACUCCU